rnacentral:lncRNA from 1 species
UGGGGGCAUGGAGGAGCAGGGGCCCGCUCACAGCAGCAGCACAGCCACCAGGAGCCCGUCCACCAGGAAGGCGGCCUUGUGCUAGACUCUGGGGAUAUGGAAAUGAGCAAAGUAGAUGUACCCCCGAAACUUGUGGACUAAUGGAGGAGACGGACCUUAAUCAGAUCGUCAUUCAAAGAUACUAUUACAAACUGUUCUGAGAGCCGAGGAAGCAGGAAGGAGCUGUGAGAGACUGAGCUCUAACCUUGGCCAUCAAAGACAAGCUGUGCAGCUCUGGUUUUUUGAGGGCAGGACAUGGAGGGUCAGGCCCAGCUGGAGGCGCACCAAAGCCCAGAGAAAAUUCAGAACCACGUGAACUUGUUGGAUUUCAGCCCCUUGAAGCACAUGUUGCUAUUGCAGCUGCCUUGAUAACUGGGGGGACAGGAGGAGCACGGCUUUCCCAUCUUGUACGGGGACUCGCCAAUCCAGUUGCCCCUGGAAGAGAAAAGGACCCAGGGAGACAGAGGAGCAUUAGGUGAGUAACCUUCACACAGAUGUCCAGAUCUCAGCGCUGCCACUGACCAGCCCUGGGGACCUGGGGCAAGUCACAUCUGCAAGCCUUGGUUUCUUUUUUUUCUUUCCUUUAUUUAUUUAUUUAUUUAUUUUGUUUUGCUCUGUCACCCAUAGCUC